CGUCGCCACGGUAAUACAGAGGGUGCAAGCGUUAAUCGGAAUUACUGGGCGUAAAGCGCGCGUAGGUGGUUUGUUAAGUUGGAUGUGAAAUCCCCGGGCUCAACCUGGGAACUGCAUCCAAAACUGGCAAGCUAGAGUAUGGUAGAGGGUGGUGGAAUUUCCUGUGUAGCGGUGAAAUGCGUAGAUAUAGGAAGGAACACCAGUGGCGAAGGCGACCACCUGGACUGAUACUGACACUGAGGUGCGAAAGCGUGGGGAGCAAACAGGAUUAGAUACCCCAGUAGUCCCUGUCUCUUAUACA
rnacentral:rRNA from 1 species